rnacentral:lncRNA from 1 species
CCAGAACCCCUGGGCUCAAGUGCUGGGAUUACAGACGUGAGUCACCAUGCCCAGCUGGGGUUCAGUCUUGAUGGGUGGGGAGGACCAGGCCUGGUGAAUUUGCGGAGAAAGGGCCUUCCAGGAGGAAAUAGUACAAACAAAGCGGGGAAGAUGGCCAGAAAGAAGCAAAGAAGAUGACAAGACCAACUGGAGGUGAUAACUGGGAGAAACAUCUGUGUUGAAGGACGAGGCGUGAAUUGAGAAGGUCUGAUCCAUCAGGGAACAGCAGAAACUCUGAGACCAACAACACUAUAUUAUUUUCUAACCACUGAUCUACUGACCAGACUUCAGGCUUCUCAAGCUAUUCGCC